CACGGUAAACGAUGGAUGCCCGCUGUUUGCGAUAUACUGUGAGCGGCCAAGAGAAAUCGUUAAGCAUCCCACCUGGGGAGUACGCCGGCAACGGUGAAACUCAAAGGAAUUGACGGGGGCCCGCACAAGCGGAGGAACAUGUGGUUUAAUUCGAUGAUACGCGAGGAACCUUACCCGGGCUUGAACUGCAGAGGAAGGAUUGAGAGAUCAUGACGCCCUUCGGGGCCUCUGUGGAGGUGCUGCAUGGUUGUCGUCAGCUCGUGCCGUGAGGUGUCGGCUUAAGUGCCAUAACGAGCGCAACCCUUUUCGUCAGUUGCCAUCAGGUGAUGCUGGGCACUCUGGCGACACUGCCACCGUAAGGUGUGAGGAAGGAGGGGAUGACGUCAAAUCAGCACGGCCCUUACGUCCGGGGCUACACACGUGUUACAAUGGGUGGUACAGAGAGUCGGUCGCAGGCAAUUGCGGUCUAAUCAUGAAAGCCAUCCUCAGUUCGGAUUGGGGUCUGCAACCCGACC
rnacentral:rRNA from 1 species